rnacentral:rRNA from 1 species
AUAGCGUAUAUUUAAGUUGUUGCAGUUAAAAAGCUCGUAGUUGGAUUUCGGAGAGGUACUGCCGGUCUGGCGUUUCGUUAAGUACUGGCAGCGCCUCUCUUGCUGCCGGAAACGGGCUCCUGAGCUUAAUUGCUCGGGACUCGGUGUCGGCGAGGUUACUUUGAGUAAAUUAGAGUGUUCAAAGCAGGCCUACGCUCUGAAUACAUUAGCAUGGAAUAACACGAUAGGACUCUGGCCUAUCUCGUUGGUCUGUGGGACCGGAGUAAUGAUUAAGAGGGACAGUCGGGGGCAUUCGUAUUUCAUUGUCAGAGGUGAAAUUCUUGGAUUUAUGAAAGACGAACUUCUG